UGAUUGUUUUGGGGAUAAUGAAUUGUAUCAAUUGUAGAUUGUAGAUUAACAUUAAGAUUCAAUAUCAAUUUUAUAACAGCAUAAAAAAACGUGCAACGUUUGUAUAUUUUUAUUGUUUCUGUAAGAAGUCUGAUUAUGUAAUUUCAAAGGAUUGUGUAAGAAAUAUUUAUUGCAAUAUUAUAAAUAUAUCGUCAAAUCUGUGGCUUAUUAGAAUAAAUUUAAACGAUUAAUUGUUUAAGUUUUAAAAUUUGAUAUCACAAAACCUACAUGUAUAUAUUUUUAUUAAGAAGUUGAUCAUGUGAUUUCAAAGGAUUGUGUAACAAAUAUAAUACUAUUGUUAUCAAAAAAAUACAAGUACCUAUAGUACACAUAAGAAUCACAAAUGCAUGCCAGAGCAGAAAAACUAACAAAGCCAAAAAACAUGUCGGAGGAGUUGUCUGGUGUAACAGUUGUUAUAAUUAUUGGAUUAGGGGUGUUAACUUUUUUGCUAUUGUUCAUAUUUGCCAAAAGGCAAAUCAUGCGAUUUGCAUUAAGGUCUCGUAGGGGGCCUCAUGUUCCUAUAGGACAUGACGCUUCAAAGGUGUUGAAAAGAGAAAUAGAAAGGCGAAUAGACCUAGUACAAAAAAUUAUGUGUGAACCCCAAUUAAUCAGUAAAACUGAUCCAAGAUAUAUUGUUUGUCCAGGCCAACAGAUUCCUGCCCAUUACUAUAGACUAAAAGCUGUAGACGAUGUGAAAGUUUUAGAGAGUGAGAUUACAAAGCAGGAUAGUUGCUUAUUUCGGCAUCCUAGUGAAAAUUUAAGGGCAUAUCUUUUAACAACUUUAGCAGCUCCAUUAAACGGCAGUGGGCAGAGACUGAUUCAUCAAUUCUGCGAUUUAUAUGAACAUGCUAGACAUGACCCCAGCCAUUUUGGAGAUGAGGAAUAUCAACAGUAUAACAGACUUUUGUUGAAGUUAGUGGAUGCGACAAAGCUUCUAAAAUCGUAUAACACAAGUAGAAAGUCGUCACCUAAUCGUACACCACAAAAACGGCUACCUGUUGAAAGAUCUAAAAAUAUGCAUUCCAGCUAUACUACUGAGGAGGAAAUUUUAAGCGUUUCAGAUAAACUUGAAUCUAGACCUACUUCAUUAACUGUUCCCAUUUCUACUGAUAAUGAAACACCAGUCUGAAACUGCUUUAUCUUACAAAUCAUACUAAGCCAAUGGUUCCCAACCGGUGGUCCGUAGCCAUCUUUCAGGCGGUGCGCCAGACUGAGUACAACUAAUUAAUAUCAUAUAAGCUGGAGCAUUGAUUGAGCGGCAAUCAUUCUAUGUGAAUUUUUUACCAGCAAAAUAUUUGUUCAUAUUAGGGAAUAGUACAUAUUAGUCCAAGGAUGUUAAAUCUGGAGAGUAUGGGGGAUGUGUAAAAAUUAUAUUGCGUAAUUCAAUUGUCACAAUUGCAGAAGAGUGAGCUGAUGCACCGUUUUGAUGGAAAAGAAUUUUCUUUUUUACCAGAAAAUCAAUUAGUUCACGGAAUUUUACCAGCGUCGUCAGCGAUCUCGACCCGUCUCGAUGAUAGAUUAAUAUGAGAGUAUUUGGACGACUAUUUUGUAAACAUAAGUUAAGAUUAGUGAGUGUGGCACUCUUAGACAGGCAUUAGCGUAGGACACACGAAUUAUCCCAGUACACCAUAUAAGUCAAUUA